rnacentral:lncRNA from 1 species
CAACUGGGUGAUUAUUAUUACUUUUUUCUUUAAUGGCACAAAUCUGGGGUAAAUACUUUGCACAAGGGUACAGCAGACAAAAGCGAGACUCGAACCUCCAACCUUAGAGACCACAGGAAGCAGCUCUAACUGCUGCGCAAACCUUUCCUCCCUCUUUUACGUACGUGGACUGUCCUGUCCUACCAUCUCCAUCCUUAAAGGGUUGCGAACCAGUCCUGUGCUUGAAACCAAUGAAAAAGAAGAAAUGGUGGGAUCCUGUGCCCCGUCGACGCCUCGAGCGCCGGUCCCCGCGUGCGCUUUCUCAUCAUGACGGCGUACGUGUGCUUUGUUCUCCCUGUCAUGUGAUAACCAGUUAUUCUGAAUCGUGACAUCAGCUCGCGUUAUGGACGAGAAGGUUUGACAGCCUUUGUUUGAUCGUGUGCGAUCGCUUCCUGUGUUCGGAUCUCUCCGAGCUUUGAUAUCCCGCACAUAAUUGUGGUGUAAUUUGUCACAUCCCAUAAUCCGGCGGCGUCACUCAAUUAAAGCUGCUUUUCGGGAAGCCGUUAGCGAUCCGUAUGUCGUUUGUUAACCGAGCUCUCGGUCCCGGGUUCGACCGGUAGGGUGCGACGCGGACGCCUCCGGGGGACCGGGAGGCCGAAGGGGCGGCGCGGGAAUGGAGAGGGAGCGGUCGCCCCCAUUUCAAUGCUUCGCUGCUCAGCUUGCAACUCCAUCGCCCCCCCCCACCCCCCUACCCCGUUAAGUUGGGCCGUUUAGCAAUCAGCAGUGUAAUUUUAACUUGGGAAGCGUGGGACCUGGCAUUCAUUUUUAAUUCAAUGCCAUUUACAGCGGCUGAAUCAUUUAAUGGCAACGGGCUCGUUUUCCGCAUGGCGCUGCGUUCGCCGAGCCCGGCCCCAUCGGAGCUUCUUCGGGCUCCGGCUCCGGUUCCGGUGGCGCGAGCUCAUGGUUUCUAACAGCCGACGGGCACCGAAAGAUGCGCUCAACCACGGAUGGUCCCCCCGGGCAUGCACUGCGCUUGCUGGUUUGCCGAGGUUGCGUCCUCAACCCAGAAAGCCACAUCCAAACCUCUGCUCCCUGGUACGCCGCAGCACCUCUCGGGACGUGAACCAGCAGCCUUUCGGAUCCGUAUCCUAAGCGGACGUUCUGCGUCCGUGUCUGUAGAAGUCGAGCAGCUCACGGUUACCCAUCAGGCUCCGCUUCGCUGCUUCAUACAGGUGUGAGGAGAGCCUGACAAGGUGACAGCGCCCCCUUUUGGCAGCGGUGUGAAUGGACACAAGG